GAAUAUUAGAUUGCAAAUUUCCUGAAGGCAGGAAUGGUAUCUUAGUCAUUAUUCAUCCCUACAUCCCCCUCAAGGCCAUCACAUUUACUUGUCCAAGCAUGGUGCUCAGUAAGUGCUGAAGACAUGAAUGAAUCCAUGAUCCUUCAGAAGGUAGCAUUACCUUUAUAGAAUCGAGAAUGAUAUCCACAAGUGUGAUCUCACUGAGACUGUGGCACCUUUCUCUUCACUUACCACCCACUGACAAGCAUCACUGGCUUUGCUGCAUAUUAAAAUUCCCCAUUUGAUUUA